rnacentral:rRNA from 1 species
AUUGAACGCUGGCGGCAGGCCUAACACAUGCAAGUCGCACGAGUGGCGGACGGGUGAGUAAUGUCUGGGAAACUGCCUGAUUGAGGGGGAUAACUACUGGAAACGGUAGCUAAUACCGCAUACCAUCGGAUGUGCCCAGAUGGGAGUAGCUAGUAGGUGGGGUAAAGGCUCACCUAGGCGACGAGCCCUAGCUGGUCUGAGAGGACGACCACCCACACGGGAACUGAGAAACGGUCCGUAAUCCUACGGUAGGCAGCAGUGGGGAAUAUUGCACAAUGGGCGCAAGCCUGAUGCAGCCAUGCCGCGUGUAUGAAGAAGGCUGUCGGGUUGUAAAGUACUUUCAGCGGGGAGGCGUUACCCGCAGAAGAAGCACCGGCUAACUCCGUGCCAGCAGCCGCGGUAAUAC